AAAUUUUGUUCAGAAUGGUUAGGGAUAUAUUAAUUUAAGGCGCGGUGUGAAAGAGAGAAAAUACACAAAGAACAGGCCAGCCGCCAUAACAGUCGCAACCUCGUCGAUGUCGACCGUUUUUCAUCCACAGGACACUAAGGACUAGCCGCCAUAACAGUCUCUCUCUCUCUAUCUCUCUCUCUCUCUCUCUCUCUCUCUUCCCAUCUGUUUCUUCUUCGACUGCCCAGCGCAAAACAGAACAAGAAAAGAAAGCGGCAGAACAGACCAGAGGAAGAAAAGAAGGCAGCAUAACAUAACAAAGGAAAAAAGAAUGAAUGUUUGAAGAAUGAAUGUCGUCCGGUCUCACAAUUUUUCAUCCACAGGAAACUAAGGAUCGCCGAGGAAGUCUCAAGACCGUUUGGAUUAGGAGGGGUCAUUUGUUCCCGGGACGAUCUAUCGGACCCCAGGAUCGUAAUAUUUUUCUAAAUCCACUUGCUACGUUACCAAUGGCCAUUGUCCAUUUCUUCUUCCCACCGGCGGGCCCCUCCUACCAGUCCUAUCCAUUGACUGAAAUUGCGAUCUUGUCGUUCAUUACAAAGCUUCUUUUCUCUUUUCCAGGUGAAACAUAAAUCUUUCGAUUUUCAAUUCUUUCCACACAAGAUUUGUCCGCCAGUCUUCUCCUGCAUUUGGAAGCAAGUAAACAUCAAGGAUCUCUAGCAGUCCAUAAGGAGCAUCUGAAUGAAGGAUCGUGGCUGCACUCGCCAUAGUUGCAACCGUUACAAUUUGGAGUCACGACUCUGGUCUAUAAAUCAAGGGCAGAAGAUUUGGAGUCGCAACUUUCGCGUUUAUACAGUAGCGACUCUAAACAGUCUGUCAUCCUAUUCAAGAACUGACCUUCUUGUUUCGAAAGUCAAAACUUGUAGGCCACAUUUUUGUGAUCAAUUGGCCAACUUGUAAAUAAGCCCUUCAUUGAUUAGGGUAAAGACAAGGUAAUUAUUAUGUGGCCUAUAUAUGUAUAGAUGGAAGGAAGAAGGGAAAGAUAAGGAGAUACACAUCUCUCUCUUUUUCUCUCUUUUAACGUUAGAAGGAAAGAAGAAAAAGGGGAGUUGCUGCAAAAAUAGAGCAAGAGAGAGCUGAGCAGCAGAGGAGAAAAGAAGGAGGAACCAAGCUCAAGCCAAAGAGGAGGAGAACCGGCAACGAGUCGAGACAUCGACUCCUUCGAGUUUCUUCUUUCCUUACCAAUCUUCUAUUCUCUCGUUUAACAUGUUGAAAACUUUUGAGAUGACGUAUUUUGUGAGCAUGAACUAAGCUCUUCUUCUAGGGAAUCGAUAGAACUCGAUGUUUGUCUAACCUCAUGAUACUCUCUCGAUCGUAUUGUUGAAUGUAUAUAUGUAAUUAAUUCAUCCCGUUCUUAA